UACAGAGGGUGCGAGCGUUAAUCGGAUUUACUGGGCGUAAAGCGUGCGUAGGCGGCUUUUUAAGUCGGAUGUGAAAUCCCCGAGCUUAACUUGGGAAUUGCAUUCGAUACUGGGAAGCUAGAGUAUGGGAGAGGAUGGUAGAAUUCCAGGUGUAGCGGUGAGAUGCGUAGAGAUCUGGAGGAAUACCGAUGGCGAAGGCAGCCAUCUGGCCUAAUACUGACGCUGAGGUACGAAAGCAUGGGGAGCAAACAGG
rnacentral:rRNA from 1 species